CUUGUAGGCGGUUUGUCGCGUCUGCUGUGAAAAUCCGGGGCUCAACCCCGGACUUGCAGUGGGUACGGGCAGACUAGAGUGUGGUAGGGGAGACUGGAAUUCCUGGUGUAGCGGUGAAAUGCGCAGAUAUCAGGAGGAACACCGAUGGCGAAGGCAGGUCUCUGGGCCACUACUGACGCUGAGAAGCGAAAGCAUGGGAGCGAACA
rnacentral:rRNA from 1 species